rnacentral:lncRNA from 1 species
UGAUCCCUUGUAUGUCUAAUUGAUGUAUGAAUUUUCUUGGAAUUAAUCUUGCUGUUUUCCAUUUGAUUGAGAAUUUUCUUCCAUAUGUGGUCAUUUGUUGACUUUUUGUGCUAUGCCUUGCCAAAUCCUUUGUGAAAUUCUCAAAUCAUAUUGUAUGUCCAUGAAAUUUCAUAUGUGAUAACUAGACUUCUCAAGCUUUGCAUUGG